UGGUCUGUGGUCCUAGACCAAGUUUUCAUGGU
rnacentral:piRNA from 1 species